CAUUUUCCUCUCCAACCGACUCUAGCUCUCCCCUCUUCUAGCUUCUUGUUUCUCUACUCCAUUCGGACCGACAACACGAUGGCCACUCCCUUAUGUAGUUAGGCUACUUCUCUUCUUCUUCUCUUUCCUUUACUCUUCACUCUUUCACAAAUCAAAACUUGCGGGCCCUUUUUUCAACCUUAACCGCGCUGCCACUGUGCCGCAUCCCCCAUAUGUGUGAUAGUGUCUCACUCGUACCUUCGGCCAGCUACCUACUCCCAAUAAAGGAGAUGUGAAGAUUGUUUGUCUAGCUCUCCAAUUUUCUUUAAAUCUACAGAAUCGAAAGGAAAAGGCAAAAAUGGUGAUGUCCAAAUUGAGUUUUUGUUCAUGUAUGAUAUUUUAGCUUUUUACAUAAUUGAUUUUAGUUAUGUGGUAUGUUUGUAUGUGCAUGCUUUCGUUUUUCAACUUUUAAUUUUUUUUUUCUGAAUUUUUAGAUGUGUACAUUUUGCGAUAUAGGAUGGCCAUGGGGCUGGUUAGCUGUAAAGUACGUUGAGAAGCAUCUUCACGUUAAUGUUCUUUUAACGGGCUUAUCACGUAAGCUGGUCUGUUUGUUUGAGAAUUUAAUGUUAUAAUUAUUGCUCGAAUUUUUAUUUUAGAAAACUACUAUAUUUUACAUUCCAUUUUGUAAUUGUCCUUUCAUGGUUUGGCAUUCGAUGAAAAUUUUCAGUUGGAUGUUAAGUGUUCAAAGAAGGCAGUUUGAUGUAAUUGCCCUAACGUUAUAAUUUGGAUAGUGUAUUUUAUGUACUCCGGUCCAAUUGUCGAGAAUGACAGAGACAAUCUGUCGGGAACGACAUAUGAAAUGUCGGGCUGUAAUGUAGUAUGUUGUAAAUGGAUUCCUAUUUUGCUUGUAAAGUUGAACAUGUAUUUCUCUGUCUGCGAAUGAAGCAGGAAUGGUAAUGACGAUAUAAAUUGAAUAUAAUAAUGUAAGUCGAUAAUUUGAUGGGGAACACCGUAGGUUGAGCAGAUGUUACGAAAUGAUGUUUAUCAAUUGAGUCUACUAUUUACAAUGUUGCAAAUUAGAAUUUAUUUGGUGGGGAUUGAAAAAAACAUUUUUAAGUGG
rnacentral:lncRNA from 1 species